GACUUGAUAGCUCAGUUGGUAGAGCAUUGCACCGGUAUAGCAGAGCUAAUGGGUUCGAAUGUCGUUCAAGCCU